GCAAAAGUGGCCAAGCCACAUCUCUCGAGACUGCAAGGGCCCUGGAGGCGCUGGGAGGCACAGAUCUGGCUGCCAGCUGGGCCUGAGGCCUCCCUUUGUCCGUCCUUCCUGUUCUUCCUCACCAGGUGUGUUUACGGAGAAGACACUCCGGGCCAGGCCAGCUCCUCCAGAGCACUAUUUCAGGCUGGGGAGAAUGCGGAUUUUUUUUUUGUUGUUGUUUUUUAAAGAAAAAUGAACAAGGAGCCUGGUUGGGGAUUGGGGUGGGAGGAAUAUUUGUCUUUUGUCCCACAAACGUGUGUGAUGCUCCAAAGGGCUGGAGAACCUCUCUCUUAAGUGGAUAUUUUUCCCCUCAAACGACUUCUCAGACAUGAUCCUCUCUGAGGUUGGUCCUGGGCUUCCAUACGUGAUUCAUGGAAGAGGUCUCAGCCCCAAGAGCCCCUGAGGGUACUGUCCACUCCCCCUGGAAACUUCCAGAACCUGACGUGGGGCUGAAGACAUAGAGGUAAUGGGGAUGGGCUGGUGGGGCGCUGGCUGGGACAAUGUGUGGAGCCCUUGUUUUCAGAGCUACAGAUGCUUGUCAGCUGACAGUUCGUUUCCAGCAUCCACAGUGGACCUCCUUUGGGGGAGCAUUUACCUGCCAAUGAACCCCAAGAUCCUUUCUCAGAGGCGGCGGGAUGAAGUUUUCCUUUUUUUUUUUUUUAGUUAAUAUAUUUUAUUUAAACCAAUAUAUCCAAAAUAUUAUCAGUUCAACAUACGAUCAAGAUAAAGAUUAAUGAGAUACUUUACAUUUUCAUACUAAAUCUUUUUUUAAAUUUUUGUGAGUACAUAGUAGGUAUAAACAUUUAGGGAUGAAGUUUCUUACUGUGUUUUCCCAGUAACAAGCACUGGCAUCAGCUGUCAUGAUUUCUCCCCAAGGCCUAGGAUGGUCAGCCUCGCACGCUCCACAGCAGAGUGACUGAAGCUCUAUCGAGGUGUGGCACGAGCGUGUUGUCAUUUCAAGAGAAUCUGCAGCCUCCCUGGUUUUUAAUGAAAGCUCCUAUGCAGGGCCUGGCCCUUUCCUGGGGAGGGAAGGCUGGCUGUGUCUCCCGCUGCAUCCUCACUGGGAACUUCAUUCCUGAGCUGCGACCGCUAUUUUUUGGAUUGGAAAAUGCCUUGGGAACGGCUCAUCUUCCUGCGGCUUGAGCCCAUUUGUUUUCUGACUGGUGGUCACUGGUGAUUAGAGUGUGUCCCAAAGGGAACCGUCACCUUAGUUCUAUCAUACACUAUCAAUAACUUGUCCAGGGCUGACUUUGUGGCUGUGUGGCUUGCCCAGUGGUAGAGGGCCGGUGUGCAGAAGGGCCCCACACUCAAUGUUUGGCUGUCCCCGGUCUUAAAAUUCUUAGUCAUUCUUGAACAAGGGAACCCAUAUUUUCAUUUUGUUCUAGGCUCUGAGAGUUACAUAAUUGAUUCUGACUUUGGCUGUUGGUCAACAGUGUCAUAAGGUAAAAUAAGGUAAAAAUCUAUGAUUUUUAUAUUUCUUUUUUUCUUUCUUUCUUUUUCCUUUUUUUUUUUUUUUUUUUUUUUGAGACACAGUCUUGCUCUGUCACCAGGGUGGAGUGCAGUGGCGCAGUGGUGCGAUCUUGGCUCACUGCAACCUCCGCCUCCCGAGUUCAAGCGAUUCUCCUGCCUCAGCCUCCUGAGUAGCUGGGACUACAGGUGCGCACCAUCAUGCCCAGCUAAUUUUUGUAUUUUUAGUAGAGACGGGAUUUCACCAUGUUGGCCAGGGUGGUGGUCUCGAUCUCCUGAACUUGUGAUCCGCCCACCUCGGCCUCCCAAAGUGCUGGGAUUACAGGCGUGAGCCAACGUGCCCAGCUGAUUUUUAUAUUUCUUUUACUAAAUUCUGUUUACAGAAAUAAUUCCAGAUUCUAUGUAAGAUACAAAUAUUUUAACUGAAGAUCAUUGUAUUUAGGGAAAAUGUUCACCUUUAAGAGACAGGGGCUGGGCGUUGUGGCUCACGCCUGUAAUCCCAGCACUUUGGGAGGCCGAGGCUGGUGGAUCGCACGAGCCCAGGAAUUCCAGACCAGCCUGGGCAACACGGCGAAACCCUGUCUAUGCAAAAUAUACAAAAAUUAGCCAAGCAUGGGGGUGUGCACCUGUAACUCCCAGCUACUCCAGAGGCUGAGGUGGGAAGACUGCUCAAGCCCGGGAGGUCAAAGCUGCAGUGAGAGACCUUGUCUUAAAUACAAACAGGCAGGAAGUCGUUAUAAGCAUAAUACAAUCCUGGAUGUUGGAAUCAUCCCUGUCCAGCCUUGGCUCUGCCACGUGGGUGCUGAAUGCUGCCUCAGGGACCCUGGUGCCCAGCUCCCACCUGCAGGGUGUUCUGAGGAGCCAGCACGCUGGGAGGGCCUAGCAGGAGAUGUGGCAUGAACCAGGUAUUCGAUAAAUAAAAAGUGCCUUUGAUUGUCACGUUUAUCAUUUGACAUGUAGGCACAGGUGCAGUUUGAUUAUUUUUAAUGUAAGUCUAUUUUAUCUCUUCCCGUUAUAAAAGCAAUACACACUGUGAUAGACGGUUUGGAGAAUUCAGGAAAGAAAAAGAAAAAGAAAAAAAAUUCCUCCUAGGCCCUCUGCUCCAGAGCCUCCAGCCGUCACAUGACAGUGUAUUUCUUUACAAUUACAGAAAUAGAUACGUGACUGUUACAUUUUGAAACUUUUUCUUUUACCUUGACUUAUUUUUAAAUAGAAACACUAGUGAGGCCCCACAGAACUGAGCAGAACUAAUGGCCCCCCAUGUGGUGGAAUAGUUCUGAGCUGGCCCCACUUUGGAUGCAGCCUUCCCCGGCAAGUCUAAACCCAGUCUCUGUGGCUGCCUGUUCACAGGGACCGUGGACUGUGAUGUUUACAGUACGAAAGCACUGGGAGAGAACGCUACAUCACAAAGUGUCCUUAACCUGCUGCCGCCUCAGCUUUCCCAUUUGUGACUUGGUUAAAAAAAAUUUUUUUGACAGUUUUAAGCUCUUAUUUUAAUUUCCACAGGCUGUUGUAGAAUCUGCUCAGCCAGGGAGGGGAAAGGAGUCGGCAAUCAGGUCUCCUCCUGGGCACCUUUGUGAGGCCAGCUGGCGAGAGUGGGGGGUGACACUGAGGUCCCAGCAGCUCCAAAUGCAGGCAGAGCCCUGUCCUCAGAGAAGGUCACAGCCUAGCCAAGCCCAGCCAGGUGGAUGGGCCCACGGAACGCACAGGAACCUGGAACGGAGGUUGAAAGCAGGAAGCACAGUCUGUGACUCCCCAGCCCACUCUGCAUUCGACCACUUGGGGCCCAGAAGCUUCAGGAAAGGUGCACAAGGUCACUGGGUCCCAGUACUCCCAACAGGAAGGUCUGGUCCAGGGACAGGGCUCUUCCCGACUCCCCUUAGCCACACGCACCAGAAGUUCUGCAGUGCCCAGUGGGCAUAGCAGUCCCCAAGAAUGACCCAGCACUGAAGCUGAGCCAAAGAACUUGGGGAGCGAGCCACACCCCCUCACUCCCUCUUCGCCUGCUCCAGACUUGCCAGGCGGUUGCUUUUCGUGGGAACCGGGAUGUCCUCACCACCCUGUCCAGGGCCCAGCCCCAUGUCCCUGGCCUGCUACAGCUGGAAAAAAAAAAGAGAGAUGUUUGUUUUUAUUUGUUUAUAAAAAGAAAAGUGUUAUAUAUAUAACAUAUUAUACCUCAUGAAUACAUACAAUUAUUUGUCAAUUAACAAUAAAGAAAAAUACAGCAAGCAAAAAAGACUCUCUUCCACAAAAAUAGUGUUCAUUACAGAAAAGUACAAAAAAAAAAAAAAAAAACUAAGAGGAUAUUUAGAAUUAAGAAAAAACUAAGAGGGUAUUUAGAAUUAAAAAAUAAAAAGAAAACAAUUACCCAUGAGGUAAUUACUGAAUGCAUUUGGUUGAAAGUCCUUCUGCUAUAUUUUCCAAACUGUAUGUGUAUAUAUGUGCGCAUGCAUAUAUGUGUUUGUGUGUGUGUACACAUAUCUAUAUGAAUGGACCAUAUCGUAAGUUAUAAAUGCAUACAUAUAUUCAUGUAUAUAUAAUCAUUAGAUCAUACUAUAGGUUAUUUUACAGUCUUUUUGUUGAAUACGUUGUGAGCAUUUUAUGUCAUUAUUUUCUACAAGAUUUGAAAAAUAAAGUAUAAAUACCAGUUAA
ensembl:lncRNA LINC00899 long intergenic non-protein coding RNA 899